AGUCGUCACGGCGACUCUAAACAGGCUUUAGGCCGUGAGCGUCGCCCCCACAGGGGGCGGGUGGCA
rnacentral:ribozyme from 18 species